rnacentral:rRNA from 1 species
GUUUCCUACGGGGCGCAGCAGUGGGGGAUAUUGCACAAUGGGGGGAACCCUGAUGCAGCGACGCCGCGUGGGUGAAGGAGUAUUUCGGUAUGUAAAGCCCUAUCGGCAGGGAAGAAGCAAGACGGUACCUGACUAAGAAGCCCCGGCUAACUACGUGCCAGCAGCCGCGGUAAUACGUAGGGGGCGAGCGUUAUCCGGAUUCACUGGGUGUAAAGGGGGCGCAGACGGCAAUGCAAGCCAGGAGUGAAAGCCCGGGGCCCAACCCCGGGACUGCUCUUGGAACUGCAUGGCUGGAGUACAGGAGG